rnacentral:rRNA from 1 species
CUGACUGCUAUCGGAUUGAUACUAAGCCAUGCGAGUCAUUGUAGUAAUACAAGGCAGACGGCUCAGUAACGCGUAGUCAACCUAACCUAUGGACGGGAAUAACCUCGGGAAACUGAGUAUAAUGCCCGAUAGAACAUUAUGCCUGGAAUGGUUUAUGUUCCAAAUGAUUUAUCGCCGUAGGAUGGGACUGCGGCCUAUCAGUUUGUUGGUGAGGUAAUGGCCCACCAAGACUAUUACAGGUACGGGCUCUGAGAGGAGUAGCCCGGGGAUGGGUACUGAGACACGGACCCAGGCCCUAUGGGGCGCAGCAGGCGAGAAAACUUUGCAAUGUGCGAAAGCACGACAAGGUUAAUCCGAGUGGUUUCUGCUAAAGGAACCUUUUGUCGGUCCUAGAAACACCGAUGAAUAAGGGGUGGGCAAGUUCUGGUGUCAGCCGCCGCGGUAAAACCAGCACCUCAAGUGGUCAGGAUGAUUAUUGGGCCUAAAGCAUCCGUAGCCGGCUCUGUUAGUUUUCGGUUAAAUCUGUACGCUCAACGUACAGGCUGCCGGGAAUACUGCAAAGCUAGGGAGUGGGAGAGGUAGACGGUACUCGGUAGGAAGGGGUAAAAUCCUUUGAUCUAUUGAUGACCACCUGUGGCGAAGGCGGUCUACCAGAACACGUCCGACGGUGAGGGAUGAAAGCUGGGGGAGCAAACCGGAUUAGAUACCCGGGUAGUCCCAGCUGUAAACUAUGCAAACUCAGUGAUGCAUUGGCUUGUGGCCAAUGCAGUGCUGCAGGGAAGCCGUUAA